rnacentral:rRNA from 1 species
GACGUAGGGCGCGAGCGUUGUCCGGAUUUAUUGGGCGUAAAGAGCUCGUAGGCGGCUUGUCGCGUCGAAUGUGAAAACUCGGGGCUCAACUCCGAGCUUGCAUUCGAUACGGGCAGGCUAGAGUUCGGUAGGGGAGACUGGAAUUCCUGGUGUAGCGGUGAAAUGCGCAGAUAUCAGGAGGAACACCCGUGGCGAAAGCGGCUCUCUGGGACGGUACUGACGCUGAGACGCGAAAGCGUGGGGAGCAAACAGG